GCAGGGAAAACUCACAGCUGUAGAUAAUAAAUUAAAUACUAGGUUGUUAUAUUAAUGUUAUGAUAAAUGUGACUUGGAUAAUUAGGCAUUUUUUUAUUGUAUAUUUGUUGUUUUCAUUGCAAAAUUGUUUUAUUGAAUCUUCUAUUUAUUGAGAUAAAGAUUUAUUUUCUUUUGUAGCCAUCAUGGUAUUUUGCAUGUCAUUAAAAUGCAUAUUCAAAAACUAUACUUAAAAUGAUUAGCUACAAUACUAUUUCAAAUUCUGUGUCGAGUUAAAAUGUUUUUUUUUUUGUUUGUUUGCAGGUGAAGUUUUUAGAAGCAAAGUUCUAGAACAGUUUCUGCCAGAAGAACAGAGGGCAGCUCUACGAGGAAGUACAACGGAGACUCAAGGUCAAGUCUCUAGAAGCAAAAUUCCAGAAAAGUUUUUGUCAGAAGAACAGAGGGCAGCUCUACAAUCAAAGGAUUUCAGUGGAGCUGGUCCAAUGCUGAGGAAGCUGGGAGCACGUGUGAGCAGGAGCUGGGGUCGGUUACCGAGGUAUCUUCAUCUGGAGAGGACCUGUUCUCUACAGACGUGAUGCUGAGCAGCAACGUGGACAGACUCUACCGGGCAAGACUCUUGCUGAUACUGAAGUUAACCACAAACAGACUUUUCCAGAUGCAUUUGCUUCAUCUAAUAAAUGUUACUGACAGGUGUGCUGAGUAAAUGUUGAUUAUAAAUGUAACAUUUAACUGAAUGCAUUGAAAGGCAAACAAGGUAAACCCCCAACUGUAUCUUUGUUUCUGUUGAAAGAUGUAUAAAUGUGCAGUUUGUAAUAAACAUA